rnacentral:lncRNA from 10 species
AUUUUUAAUUUUUUUGUAGAGACGGGAUCUCACUCUGUUGUGCAGGCUGGUCUUGAACUCCUGGGCUCAAGCAAUCCUUCCACCUUGGCCUCCCAAAUUGCUGGGAUUACAGGCGUGAGCCAUUGCACUUGGCUGCUAGUUUUCUCAAUCAGAAGUGGUCGAGGUAACCUGUAAAUAAGGAUUAAAAAUUUAAGAUGUUCUAAAAUAAAAAGAAGAAAUUAGCUAUUAAGCCAUGAAAAGACUCAGGUGAUAUUUAAAUGAAUAUUGUUAAGUGAAAGAAGCCAGUUUAAAAGGUUACAUACUGUGAUUCCAAGUAUAUGACAUUUCUGGAAAAGGUGAAACUGAUGAGGGAUAGACAAGCAGAUAAAUGAAGGUGGAUGGAAAGCACAGCAGCAUGCCCAGCAUGGACCCUUGGUCUAUGAUCAAGGUGUUAUUACAGAUCAAUGGGGAAGGGCAGACCUUUCAAAACAGUGGUUCUGAGCUGGGUGAGGUGGCUUAUGCCUGGAAUCCCAGUGCUUUGGGAGGCUGGGGCGGGAGGAUUGUUUGAGGCCAGGAGCUCAAGACC